GGUGUCUUUGGAUAAGGGUCAUGAUGAAUAACCAAACUCACCUGCGAAAAAAAGGGAGGAGAAUAAAAAGCACAGGCAGUCUCAAACCAGAGGUCGAGGGCAGCUCACCAGUUCGGGGGCACUGAGCUGCUAAUAAAAAGCACAGGCAGUCUCUCGGAGAGGCUCCUGACUCUAUCUCUGCAUCUUUCUUUUUCUUCAUCCUCACUCCCCCAUUCAGGUGCUGUUCGACAAGUGACGCCUGGCUCCAUCACGGGUGGCGCCCAAACAGGGACCUGAAUACGGGGGACCAAGUGAAGGACCCCGGGGAUCGUGAGCUCGGAUAAGUAAAUGAAGGGCGGUGAAUACACUCGGGAGUAACAAGAUGGGUAUUGGUAAUAGCCGAAUGCUUUUUGAACAUAUGCUUCAAAAUAUGCUUUGCGCUUGUGGAGCAAAGGACGCUGAAGGUGCCAGGUGGCUGCCUGAAAGAUUGGUCCGUUUUGCGGGAAAUUCUCCUGCCCCUGAGGAGGAUCCCGACAACUGUCCUGCUGAUAAAUCUAAUGAUGACGCUUAAUGAGAAGGUUUAUUGGACUUAUGUACCUGAUCCACCUGUUGUACAUCCAAUGAGCUGAAAAAAUGGAGAAGUAAUGGUAUGGGUGAGCAAUACCAGGCUGUUGGAUGAGCCGGCGGCACCUGACAAGAACGAGGUCCGAUUGUUCAACUAUACGGGAUCAGAAACCGGAAUCCCCAUAUGUUUCUUCAAAAUCAACAGAACUGAUUGUAUAAGACUGAGCGCUCACACCCUGGCAGGAAGGCAGAGGCUGAUAGUCAAUGACGGGUAAGAGGAAUACAGGAAAUCACCAACCUAAGACAGAGCAAGAGUACUGUGACGCUCUUGACUCCAUGACGGGUAAGGGAUUUCUUUAUAUUCCUCACCUAAGACAGGCACAGCCUAUCUGCGUGAUCAAGGGACCUAGAUCAUAAUAUAUAAAAGGGAGAGAUGUGGAAAGCGGUGUUAGCCAUAGAGGCUCCAUGUUAAAUCUUACCCUCCAUUGUAUAGAGCAAGGAGACUAUGUUAAGAGGAACCGCAUCCUUGUCAAAUUAGAUGUUUACCUUCAGAAGAACGUCUUGUAAACCUGAGAAACAAGAAAGCCCAUGAGGGUGGGGAAUUUCCAAAGAACUAGAGAACAAGGAAGCAGGUGUCUUUGGAUAAGGGUCAUGAUGAAUAACCAAACUCACCU
rnacentral:lncRNA from 1 species